rnacentral:rRNA from 1 species
GACGAACCGUGCGAACGUUGUUCGGAUUCAUUGGGCUUAAAGGGCGCGUAGGCGGCCGCUCAAGUCGGGGGUGAAAUCUUUCAGCUUAACUGGAAAAUAGCCUCCGAUACUGGGUGGCUGGGGAGGAGUAGGGGUGCGCGGAACUUCCGGUGGAGCGGUGAAAUGCGUAGAUAUCGGAAGGAACGCCGGUGGCGAAAGCGGCGCACUGGAUCUCAUCUGACGCUGAGGCGCGAAAGCCAGGGGAGCAAAGCGGG